UCAGCAGUGGUAGUUUUGAACUUUUAUUUCGGUUUCGGUUGACGCGGGGAGACUUUACUCCUGAACUCAUCCCUGCUAUCAUUCAUAACUGCUGCUGUUUCUCGGGGCAAAAUAUCGACUCUGGCUUAAAUCUAACGGUAGCGAUCACCUGAAACUGAACCGUAAAAUAUACGGAAGACACAUCUAUGUCCUGGAGAAGAGAGAAUUUUUGUUUUUGACCGAUUAUUUGACGAAAAUAAGCUGACAAUUUGCGCCUUGCCAACCGCUGCCAGGCCAAACUAAUUCGGUUUCUGUGGAGCGCUAUGUUUCGAUACUCAAUAAAUCGAUAAGCCAAUGCGACUAUCGGGCAUCCCCUCGUACGUCAGAAGACAAUCCGCCAUGCAUUCCCUCUCACACUACGUGCGCGGUCUCGCUCACUCAUCCACUCACGCGUCAAGCAGCGGACCUGCCAGGUCGUCGGCCGAAUCGCGAGCAAAGCGACACGGGAGUGCAAGCGGUAUUUGGCCAGGUAAGAACUAGAAUAUUAUCCGGAGAACCUGCCUCCAUUCCAGAGCUGGCCACACAGUUUCUUGCAGUUUCCAGUAAGCCAAACCUACCAUCAACUGUCUAGCUAGCGGCCAUAUUUUCUCCAACUACUUUUGAAACGGAUAUUCGGUACGAAAAGCGAUCAACUGUGGACAUUCUGGCAUAGCUGUGACCCAGGACGUGGAGCGUGUUUAUUCAGUUGUCUGCAAGCAGUGCAUCUGAAUAUAUGCAUAACAAAAUCUUCAUCAAAUAAAUUUAAUUCUAAAGCUUGUAUUUGCUAUGACCUUUAAAUUAUGCCUUCGAAAUUAAAUGAAUUUAAUAAGA